rnacentral:rRNA from 1 species
GACGUAGGUGGCGAACGUUAUCCGGAUUUAUUGGGCGUAAAGGAUGCGUAGACGGUAAAACAAGUUACUACUUGAUGUCGAGCUCAACUUGACUGAAAUUAGUAAUACUAUUUUGCUAGAGAUUGGGAGAAGUUGAUGGAAAUCUAUGUGGAGGGGUGAAAUCCGUUGAUCUAUAGAGUACCACCAAAAGGCGAAGGCGAUUGACUAUUCCAUUUCUGACGUUGAGCAUGAA